UUCACAGUACCUGAGUUAGGUUAGGUCGUAUAGGUUUCACAGUACCGGAAAAAAAGAACACUGAUUUCUCCCUUUCUUCAUCAUAUAUCUUUUUCAGUUCUCAUUCAUUGGACUACGACCAUUAAUUUUGUGAGUCUGUCCGUCACGUUUUGUUGUUGGUAGAUUAAGGAGUGUCUAGAGGUUGGGAGUAAUUAGGAUUAUUGGGUUUGUUUAUACAUCGAGUUUGCAGGCCAAAGGAUUACAGGGAGAGCUAUAUAUGAAGCAAACAAACAGAAAAACUGAUUGAUCCAUCACCAGUUUUACGUCUGCAAGGUGUUCGAAAAAAGUCACAAAAAGAAACAACAUUUACCGGCUCAUGAAUUACCCCAAAAUGAGCUUUAACAGAUGUUUUAGAUUCAAUGGAUUAGUGUAUAUAAUGCUCAUCGAUCAAUGAAAUAAAGGUAGAGCUCAUAAAGGAUAACAACACAUUUGCCAUCUAGUGGAGGGCCAUUUGUGAAAAUGAAUUUCAUGUCUAUCAUGAUUAUGUGGUUCCCAAGCUAUGACUCCUUGCUCAGAAAGGGGUUGCUACAUCCACUAAAUUGUACUAACUGGAUUGGAGAUUGAGGUAUGUAAAUUAUCUGUAAGAUAAAUAUGUAUUGGUCUCUAUAAAACCAAAACAUAAACACAAGUGCCAUUUAGGUUACCUAAAACGCCUCCCCUAUGUGUUAUAGGACUUUAAAAAUGCAAAGUUGGUAUCACGUCUAUAUGGAUGCAUGAAUAAUGUGGAUGCUGUAAGAUGCCACACCUUAUCAUUUGCUUCUUCUUCUUGUUUUGGUUAAUUUUUCUGUCCUUCGUUAACUUUUGUCUUGGUGUCACUUCUUUCUCAUUUACACCCACAACAAAAAUUGGUGCUAUCAACACAGCCAAAAGAGUUAGCGAGUACAACUUCCAUUGAAAUAUUUGUCUACCAUAUCUUCCUUGUUACUUAAUUACUUUUUAGUGGUAAGUACAAUGCUGAGGCAACAUCAGGACCAAGUUAAAUAAGAUUUGAUUGUCAAGUACUCUGAACAUUACAAUCGGUGUUAAUUUAUCGCAUUCGCAUAUUUUGACCUUUACGAUUGAGCAUUGGUCUAGGGUUGGGCAUUUCUUAAAUUCCAUCUUUCAAAGUAAUCUUUUAAGGUGAUGUAUUAAGUUACUUUCUUGUUUACUCUUUUGGACUGUAUAUCUUUCAAAUUUAUUUAUUGUUCUUGACUUCUUGUGAAAUUAUCCAAUUAGUAAUGAGGCAUAUGGAACAUUGGGUGAAAUAGUAAUAAGCCGUGCAAGCAACUGCUGUGACUUGUGCCAAUAUAUAUCUUGAGCUUUUAUAUCUCUUACAAUAGCCAAUUCACAGUCAAAUUGGGAAGCAAGUGGUGAAGAUUGGAAGGAGCUCCGGCUUAACUACUGGGAAAAUAACCGCCUACGCAUUUGAGUACAAUGACGAUAAAGAUGAGAGAUACACUCAUUUGCAAUUUAUGGAGCUUCGCCAAAGACGUUCAUGAAUGAAAUAUUUUUUUGAUUGUUAAAAGAAAAUAUUUACAGAUGAGGAAGUAAUUUUACACAUUUAUUAGAUUGACAUAAAAGUAAAAUACACCAGUUUUUGUUCA